UGCGGGCCAGUUAAAUUACGUGAACGAUUACGUGCACAUUUGCAGCCGUAAAAAUAGCGUUCAGUCCAAAUAAGGCCGGUCGAAAACCUAGCCCGAAUUUCGUGCCAAUUUCACGACAUUGAAAUCAAAUUGUUUGUAUACAUGUGCAGAUGUGUGGAGAUUGAAGAAGUAUACGCGUAUUUUGAUCCGGGAAGUGGACUAACGUUGAACAAACGCAAAAUGGCAGGAAUAAAAAGCAUGGUAAUCCAUGACAGGAUCAGAUUGUUUGGUCAAGGCUGGAUGGGUCCACGAUAUACGACUUCACACAUACCAAUCUGGGUCCGGGAAGACCAUAUAUGUGGUGAUUGGCAGGGUGAAACACAGCCAGAGAAUGACAGCAACCCCUCUGGUUCCAUGGUUUGCUGCUGAGAAGUGUGGAGAAAUUAUAGCUGCACACUGUACAUGCAUGGCCGGAUUGGGAGAACCUAUAGCCAUGUUGCUGCAUUAACAUCAAGUGUUGUAAAAGCCAACCAGUUGAGGAAAGCUCCAGGAUCAGAUGCCUGUACUUCUCAGAAGUGUGCAUGGCUACCAGCAAAAAGAAAUGUAUGUGCUGCAGAAGUGAAACACAUCAAUUUCAGAAAGCCUUCAACAAGUACCUGCAAGAAACCUCAGACAGAAGCUGCUAUAGCACCCCCUACAUCAGAUGAACUGGCCGUAUUCCAUGCAUCUCUCCAGCAAGUAUCAGCUCGGCCAGUUGUUCGUGUCAUGGAUGCAUAUGCCCAAGAAUUUAUUCCCCCUUCUGCUACUGACAAGUACCCAAAGGCCCUCUCAUCUCUCUAUGACCCAGACAGUUUGGACCUGACUUACCCUCAACUUCUUCAGAAACGUGCUACUGUCAGUGACUCAGUAAAGAUAACAACAUAGCAUUGUCAAGUUAUGGAAGAGGGAACUAAAGGUCUGGCUAACUGCAAGAUCUGGUUGGCCCAGACAGCUGGUCGUAUUACUGCUUCAAAUUUCAAAAGUGCUGCAAGAACAAAUCGUGCCAUGUCAUCAGCAAGUCUCAUCAAGAAAAUGUGCUAUCCAGAGGCAUUUCGGUUCUCAAUUGCAGCAACAAGGGGGGGGGAUGUGAUCAUGAGAAGGAAGCAAGGGAUGCAUAUUGCUGUCAGGAAAGCCCUAAGCACACCAUCAACUGGGAAGAAGCCCACCUCAUCGCCAACAUUGAACAGUGGUACCCAAGACGCAUUAGAGAAGCCUUGGAAAUCUCCAAGCACCCCACCGUACCUCAAGACAUCGGUUUCUCCAUCAGCGAUAUCUGGCAGCCCCUCCUCACCUCCCGGUCUGAUGGGUCCUCCAUACCCUAAGACUCCCC